rfam:Schistosoma mansoni strain Puerto Rico chromosome W, complete genome
AUCCAGCUGACGAGUCCAAAAUGGGACGAAACGCGCGUCCUGGAU